UGAGGAAUAUUGGUCAAUGGGCGCAAGCCUGAACCAGCCAUCCCGCGUGCAGGAAGACGGCCCUAUGGGUUGUAAACUGCUUUUCCAGGGGGAGAAUUUUUCUGUCGUGACAGGAAUUGACGGUACCCUGGGAAUAAGCAUCGGCUAACUCCGUGCCAGCAGCCGCGGUAAUACGGAGGAUGCGAGCGUUAUCCGGAUUUAUUGGGUUUAAAGGGUGCGUAGGCGGAUAGAUAAGUCAGUGGUGAAAACCUGCAGCUUAACUGUAGACUUGCCGUUGAUACUGUCAGUCUUGAGUAUGGUCAAGGUAGGCGGAAUGUGUAAUGUAGCGGUGAAAUGCUUAGAUAUUACACAGAACACCAAUUGCGUAGGCAGCUUACUGAGCCGACACUGACGCUGAGGCACGAAAGCGUGGGGAUCAAACA
rnacentral:rRNA from 1 species